CCGGUGUGAAAUGAAUCUCUCGGUCGUUCCCUGGUUUGAAGGAAAUCUCCGUGCGGCUGCUUUCCAUCAGCUGUGUGAGAAGCUGUGAAGGGCUUGCCCUGAGACACCAGCGGUUUGAUGAUCCAGACGGACCAAGCAAUAGAGCUGUGGCUGGUUGUGCUAUGGAGUGCAUCUAGAAGGGAUAUAUGCAACAUUGACCUCGCUUGCUUCAGAGGAAACCUUUGUUUCUAGAUGUCCACUCUUUACCCCUGCAGCAGACUGAAGUAUCAUUAUUAUCCCAAUUUUACCUACAAGAAAACCAACGCUGCACUGCCAAGUUCUGUGGCACUGCAGUGAUGGACGGGACCUCUUGCCUAGAUCUGAUGAACUCCUACUCAUCCUUCAAGACCUAACUCAGCUUUUGUUUCCUUCAAAUCCUUCUGAGUCUCCACCAA